UCCGGCCGUAUCACGUUGAAUCACCGGUUCUCGUACGAUCGCCGAAGUUAAGCAACGUUGAGCCUGGUCAGUACCUAGAUGGGUGACCGCUUGGGAAUACCAGGUGCUGUAAGC
rnacentral:rRNA from 1 species